ensembl:lncRNA
GGAUGACACUAACCUGCUGUAAAAAAAAAAAAAAGAUAAAAAUUAACAAAAAUCCAUCUGUACGCCAUAUUUUGUAAGCUGUAUUGCUUAAACAGCAACAAAUGUGGUUCUUAUCAACUGAAAAUGUUACAGUUUUUAAAAUUAUUCUUUGUGUCACAUAUAUAUGACUAAAGCCUGAUUAGAUUUUAGACAAAUACCAAGAGAUUUUCAUACACUUUGUCAAGAUAUCUGAUGAAAAGUGGAAAAUUUAUUGGUUAGUGACCAAUCUAAAAUAAUGAAAUGCCUAAUGAAUUCCCAGGAAGAAAUCUAUGCAAAACCUCUCUUGCCUUGAAAUACACAUGCACCCCUUCCUCAGACUCCAUGACUAGACAUUAUUUACUUAAAACUGGGAUUUAUUUACUUCACUUCAUUUUUCACUUUUUAAAUAAUCACUUGUCUGUUUAAGAUUAAACCUACCUACUAUUCUGUGGAAUUGUGCUCCACAGAUCAAAUUCAUUUUGCAUAUGCAUUUUUGCAUUAAUGUGAUUGCUUAGUUAAACCAGUGACUUCUGGCCAGAAAGUAUCUUAUACUAUAUAUUCAGCAGAAAGAAACCAUAAUGAAAUUUUCAGUAAGACUUGAUGGAAUUGAGCAUGCUCAGGCAAUAAGCUAGAAAUCUAAUUUCUAAUUUCUUACUUAUAGUCUAUGAAUAUGGAAGGUGUCAUGGAGUUAUCUCUAGAUCUCUCUGUGUCCGUGACAGUGGGACAGCAGGCCCACAGGCCCACUGGCCUGAAAAGGGGGGGGGGAUGUGGGGGGAAUGUCAACCAUUUACGGGCCAGUUUGGCUCAGUACUGUGACUAAUGGGGUAGUGGAUCUAUGGACUCAUGCCCUGAGAAAAGGGGAAGGGAAAGAAAGGGAAAGGGUAGUGAGACUGGAGAUGGGCCUAAACAAUAUAACAGCAGCAAUGAUCUGAGGAGGAAAGUUAAUUUACUAAAUAUGAUAUUGGAAUGCAAGACAACACAGUAUAAUAUGGUAUAAUUGGAAUUGAGGCUAAUAAAACAAAAAAAGAAGAGAGAAGGAGUGUCCGAAAUUGAAGGCCUUACUCUGAAUUGAAGGCAAAAUGGCUGGGGAGCACACACACUGCCAGGCAAUGAGAAAGAGAAAGAGACCAGUCUCAUGACUUGCCAGGAGUUCUAUCUUUCCUUCUGGAUGCAAAGUCCUUUGGGAUGCAACUGAACAAUCCUUGUAACAUGAAAAGGAAUCAAAUAAAAAACAGACAGACAAGAACCCAUAGCAAAAAAAAAAAAAAAAAAAAAAAAAUAUCUAUAAUUAGAGACAUACUAGUAAGAAGUUGCUAAGAAAGUAUAAAAUGUGCAUAUGUACACACUUUCACUAUACAUAUAUUGCUAUGACCUGGAUUUCUGGGGCUUCUGAAGAGUAGUAAAAAUAUGCAUGGCAGAGAAUGCAUUAAGAUUUUGCUGAAUUACAAAUGAAAAACAUCCUCCAGAUACUCUGUAUUAAAGCUACUUAAAAGAAAAUUAGAUAGAUAUAAGAAAAUUUCUAAGAUGAAUGAACAGGUUAACAGAAAAUAUAUACUUUGAUAAAUUGUCCAAAGAGUAGAUGUAUGAACACAGUGAAGAAAAAGAUCCUUCUGUGGCACAAAAAAAAAGAGCUGUUAUAAUAAGGAUCUCAAAAUUUAGCCAUGGGGAGAAUACAUCAGGGUUGUGAAGAGUGAGAACAGGACCCUGCAGUUAUAGAGAGAAGGGCCUCAGAGCAAGAAAAGGGAAAGUAGCUUCACAAAGUAGAAAUAAGGAGCAAAUAGAGAUAGUUUAUGUAAGGAGUGUUAGAAAACAAGGGAUUCCAAGCACUUUCACAGACAGUAGGUCUGGAAUAUCAAGGAGGAUGAAGGCCAUAAAGAUAAGGACUGGAGAGCAGCUCAAAAACAUUUGGCAGGGAGGUGAUUAGAUGUCUACAGGGCAAGUUGAAACCGGUUCAGGAGAUGCCCCCCCUUUGGGGGCAGAAGUUUGCAGCAAGGAAGGCUACGAGCCUUCGCGAGGAAGACUAUGAGCCUUCAUCAUCAUGACCUACUACGCACGCGCAAGGGGGGGGAGGGACUGCAUGCUAAUGGGCUCUCGGGAAUGUAAUGAAUAUGUAUCCGAAUUCCUGUCAACUAUUGAUUAUGUAUUAGUUCGAUCUAUAUCUAUAGCACGAUUUCUCCUGAUGGUGUGCAAGUUAGGUGGAGCGAUCCCCCUUGCACCAGGGUGUACGUGCGUCACCAAUAAACACAUGCCUACUCUGUAUCCUUACCGGCUAUAGGGUCUGAUUUCCACACGUCAGUUGAUCAUAACUAAUUACAUUACAGGCAGUUGACUGCCUAUAGAUUAUGUAAAUAUAACUGUAAACCUCACAUACCUGAGUUGCUCAAUUACAUUUCUUCAGUAUCAGGUAUGCAAAAUCCGCGUAUUGAUACAAAAUUUACUAUUACUUAGUUAUCAUUAAAUAAAUUAUGUAUUUUACCACUAUUUAGUCUGAUAGCUU